rnacentral:rRNA from 1 species
ACGAACGCUGGCGGCGUGCUUAACACAUGCAAGUCGAACGGUGAUCCUCGGAGCUUGCUCUGGGGUGAUCAGUGGCGAACGGGUGAGUAACACGUGAGUAACCUGCCCCCCACUCUGGGAUAACUCCGGGAAACCGGUGCUAAUACUGGAUAUGACUCAAGCUCGCAUGAGCAUUGGGUGGAAAGUUUUUCGGUGAGGGAUGGACUCGCGGCCUAUCAGUUUGUUGGUGGGGUAAUGGCCUACCAAGGCGACGACGGGUAGCCGGCCUGAGAGGGCGACCGGCCACACUGGGACUGAGACACGGCCCAGACUCCUACGGGAGGCAGCAGUGGGGAAUAUUGCACAAUGGGCGAAAGCCUGAUGCAGCGACGCCGCGUGAGGGAUGACGGCCUUCGGGUUGUAAACCUCUUUCAGCAGGGAAGAAGCUUUUGUGACGGUACCUGCAGAAGAAGCACCGGCUAACUACGUGCCAGCAGCCACGGUAAUACGUAGGGUGCGAGCGUUGUCCGGAAUUAUUGGGCGUAAAGAGCUUGUAGGCGGUUUGUCGCGUCUGCUGUGAAAACUCAGGGCUUAACCCUGAGCCUGCAGUGGGUACGGGCAGACUAGAGUGUGGUAGGGGAGACUGGAGUUCCUGGUGUAGCGGUGGAAUGCGCAGAUAUCAGGAGGAACACCGAUGGCGAAGGCAGGUCUCUGGGCCAUAACUGACGCUGAGAAGCGAAAGCAUGGGGAGCGAACAGGAUUAGAUACCCUGGUAGUCCAUGCCGUAAACGUUGGGCGCUUCUUAAUACGACUCACUAUAGGGCGAAUUGAAUUUAGCGGCCGCGAAUUCGCCCUUCCCCGUCAAUUCAUUUGAGUUUAUUCGUCUGAGCCAUAAUCAAACUCU